GACAGAGGAUGCAAGCGUUAUCCGGAAUGAUUGGGCGUAAAGCGUCUGUAGGUGGCUUUUUAAGUCCGCCGUCAAAUCCCAGGCUCAACCCUGGACAGGCGGUGGAAACUACCAAGCUGGAGUACGGUAGGGGCAGAGGGAAUUUCCGGUGGAGCGGUAGAAAUGCGUAGAGGAUCGGAAAGAACACCAACGGCGAAGGCACUCU
rnacentral:rRNA from 1 species